rnacentral:tRNA from 1 species
GGAGAGGUGCUCGAGUGGUUGAAGAGGUACGCCUGGAAAGCGUAUGUACCCCUAAAGGGUACCGAGAGUUCGAAUCUCUUCCUCUCCG